GACGAACGCUGGCGGCGUGCCUAAUACAUGCAAGUAGAACGCACAGUUUAUACCGUAGCUUGCUACACCAUAGACUGUGAGUUGCGAACGGGUGAGUCACGCGUAGGUAACCUGCCUGGUAGCGGGGGAUAACUAUUGUAAACGAUAGCUAAUACCGCAUCAUAUUAAUUAUUGCAUGAUAAUUGGUUGAAAGAUGCAACUGCAUCACUACCAGAUGGACCUGCGUUGUAUUAGCUAGUAGGUGAGGUAACGGCUCACCUAUGCGGCGAUACAUAGCCGACCUGAGGGGGUGAUUGGCCACACUGGGAAUGAGACACGGCCCAGAACCCUACGGGAGGGAGCAGGAGGGAAACUUCGGCAAUGGACGAAAGUCUGACCGAGGAACGCCGCGGGAGUGAAGAAGGUUGUCGGAUCGGAAAGGUCGGUUGUAAGAGAAGAACGGGCGUGAGAGUGGAAAGUUCACACUGUGACGGUAUCUUAACAGAAAGGGACGGCUAACUACGUG
rnacentral:rRNA from 1 species